AGCCUCGGUGUACUUUAGCCCAAUAAGUCGUUGUGGUUUGCUGUGAAUCAGGGUUAUAGGAAUGCAUUGAAGUAAAUUUACACAAACAUUUGUCAAUGAUUGUUGAUCAAUGGCUUGUGUGUCUUGUGUGAAAUUACCAAUGUUAAUAUCGACUAAUGUAGCAUUUUAUUCCCAGAUGUACAAGCAUUUUCAAUUUGGGUUGUUUCAACUUGUUAAAAAUCCGUUAAAUGGAAGGUGAGUCUGAGCUCUUCUACUGCUCUGAUAACUGAGUUUCUACAAACUCACUGAGAUUUGACAUCUGUUUACUAAAGGUAAGGGAACUACUGCUGGCGACUUCCCUUUAAAAAAAUCUGAAUUAUCCCAGAAGGAAAGUGUGAUAGAUGUAGUUUAACAAACAUGCAGACCAGGACAGAUAUGUAAAUUAUUUAGUCUAAAAAGAGCUGACACUUCUUGAACUGAAACCAGUGCUGAUAAGUGCUGUUCCUCCUGAGUGGAGCGAUGUGCCGGUAGCCGCCUGCUAGCGGCUCAUCUGAGUCAGUCAGAACUGUGGGCGAAGGUCACCGGACAGAUUAGACAGCUUUGCCAACAUACAACAGAGUUUGACGGGGUAGAACUUUGUCUGGUUGGUUGAAUCGCGCUAUUAUCCAAGCAGAAGUCAGCGUGGUUCAGGAUGGCACAGCCUUUGUGGGUGUCCUCACACACCCACUGGUUCCAGCACCUUUCCUCCUGCUGUGAUGCCCUCAGUUCUGCCCUCUGGUGCAGGCUCCGCCCACAUCGCACCAUUUCCAGACCCAUCUCUGCAUGUUCCUCUCUGCAGGGGAACAAGGGUCAUUUUGCUCCUUCGCCGUUGCACAACUGGUAGUUAUUUCAUACCCAUUCUUCAGGGUAGGAAAUGGACCCAUCUUCGAGGGGGUGUUUGGUAUUGACAAUGCGUUAGCGUCUAAUCUCCAGGGAUGUUUCCUAUAUGCUUUUAGAAUCAAAGAUUUAAAGUAUUUUUUUUUUCUUCAAUCUACUCACAGUCUGCUAUAAGAAAAGCUGGUGAUAGACUUUAACUCUGGGGAAGUUUGUUUUCACCAGGAGUCAAAAGCUGUCGUAAUACUUAAGAGUCUAAUGGCCCAAACAUGGAUCAGAACCUGCAUAAAUGGAAACAGGAUGUAUAAGGCAUCUUCAAAGAAUAAUACAUAAUUAAAUUGAAUUAUACGUCUGAUUUGAAUAAUGACAUGAUUAUAACAUUGUUAAAAUCUUUGGUUUAUAAAACAAAAUGUUCACCUUCAAAGAGAAAUAUACUGAUGUAAUGGUAUGGGUACAUGGCACAAAAUAGUUUGUCAACUGGUUUAAAGUGGAAGAAGGAUGAUGUGAAACAGCGAAUUAUUAAAUUGACUCUGAAUGUGCUCGACUGGACCACCAGAAGCAUCAGUAGCUACAUUACCAUGAAUUCCUGUAGAGGGCGCUGGUUAAAUGGAAAAGCCUGGAUAAUAAAACCAAUCUGUGUUUGUCUAUUUUACAACUAUUACAAUCCAUCUAAUUUAGGAAGCAGGUGGAACUUCAGAUUAGCUGCUCCACAUAUUAAAAACAAAAGUAAACAAAGAAUUGAAGGACUUAAUAUUUGAUCUUAAUCUGCCUUCACAUGCUGAAAUUCUUCCAAAACAACAGUGCUGCUUUCAGUUGGGUUUGUUACCUACUGCAUAUUGUAACAUUUUGUCAUUAAAAGGAAGAAUCUUUUUCUAUUUUGUUGAAGUUGACUCUGUCUGCUUUCUUAUUUUGACUAUAUUUAGGAUGUUUUGCACUGUAUGUUUAGGUAUAAGUUAAUGGCUGACCUGAUUUCUCAGUGUUCUGUGCCGCCUGUGUCAGGACAGCAAAAUUACCGGAAUAAAGAGAAAAAUAACACCA